ACUCAGCUGACGAGUCCCAAAUGGGACGAAACGCGCGUCCUGAAA
rnacentral:hammerhead_ribozyme from 1 species